rnacentral:rRNA from 1 species
GAUGAACGCUAGCGGCAGGCUUAACACAUGCAAGUCGAGGGGCAGCAUAAUGGAUAGCAAUAUCUAUGGUGGCGACCGGCGCACGGGUGCGUAACGCGUAUGCAACCUACCUUUAACAGGGGGAUAACACUGAGAAAUUGGUACUAAUACCCCAUAACAUCAUGAAAGGCAUCUUUUAUGGUUGAAAAUUCCGAUGGUUAGAGAUGGGCAUGCGUUGUAUUAGCUAGUUGGUGAGGUAACGGCUCACCAAGGCGACGAUACAUAGGGGGACUGAGAGGUUAACCCCCCACACUGGUACUGAGACACGGACCAGACUCCUACGGGAGGCAGCAGUGAGGAAUAUUGGUCAAUGGACGCAAGUCUGAACCAGCCAUGCCGCGUGCAGGAUGACGGCUCUAUGAGUUGUAAACUGCUUUUGUACUAGGGUAAACUCACCUACGUGUAGGUGACUGAAAGUAUAGUACGAAUAAGGAUCGGCUAACUCCGUGCCAGCAGCCGCGGUAAUACGGAGGAUUCAAGCGUUAUCCGGAUUUAUUGGGUUUAAAGGGUGCGUAGGCGGUUUGAUAAGUUAGAGGUGAAAUGUUAGGGCUCAACCCUGAAACUGCCUCUAAUACUGUUGGACUAGAGAGUAGUUGCGGUAGGCGGAAUGUAUGGUGUAGCGGUGAAAUGCUUAGAGAUCAUACAGAACACCGAUUGCGAAGGCAGCUUACCAAACUAUAUCUGACGUUGAGGCACGAAAGCGUGGGGAGCAAACAGGAUUAGAUACCCUGGUAGUCCAUGCAGUAAACGAUGAUAACUCGUUGUCGGCGAUACACAGUCGGUGACUAAGCGAAAGCGAUAAGUUAUCCACCUGGGGAGUACGUUCGCAAGAAUG